AUGCGUUUAGAGAGAAUACAUCGGUAGUGGUUUUGGCCCUUAGGGAGCCAGUUACCAGUGACACUGAUGAGUUAUUUAAUUUAUAACCGUUUUGUUAAGGAUUUUAAGUUGAUUUUUCCAUAACCGAUGUAUGUAAGACUGUGAGACUCGAAAGCAAUAAUGUGUAAAGGUAAUAUGUAUACUUGUAUAGUAAAAUGUUAGAAUUAUGUGUACAACGCUGUAAUGUAUGUUUUUAUGUUGUAAGUUACGAUAGAAAUACAGUUUGGUGAUACGUAA